ACUCAAAUGAAUUGACGGGGACCCGCACAAGCGGUGGAGCAUGUGGUUUAAUUCGAGGCUACGCGAAGAACCUUACCCAGGCUUGACAUGGUUAAGACAGCGCAUGAAAGUGCGUCUCUCCGCAAGGAGCUUUUCCACAGGUGCUGCAUGGCUGUCGUCAGCUCGUGCUGUGAAGUGUUGGGUUAAGUCCCGCAACGAGCGCAACCUUUAUUGUUAGUUGGCAUCACGUCAUGGUGGCCACUCUAAUGAGACUGCCGGUGAUAAACUGGAGGAAGGAGGAGACGACGUCAAGUCAGUAUGGCCCUUAUGCCUGGGGCUACACACGUGCUACAAUGGCCGCCACAAAGGGCAGCAAACCCGCGAGGGGGAGCAAAUCCCAAAAAAACGGCCCCAGUUCAGAUCGGAGGCUGCAAUUCGCCUCCGUGAAGUCGGAAUCGCUAGUAACGGUAGAUCAGCUACGCUACCGUGAAUACGUUCCCGGGUCUUGUACACACCGCCCGU
rnacentral:rRNA from 1 species